rnacentral:rRNA from 1 species
UUCCUUGACACCGCAUGGUUCAAGGAUGAAAGACGGUUUCGGCUGUCACUUACAGAUGGACCCGCGGCGCAUUAGCUAGUUGGUGGGUGUAAUGGCUCACCAAGGCGACGAUGCUGUAGCCGACCUGAGAGGGUGAUCGGCCACACUGGGACUGAGACACGGCCCAGACUCCUACGGGAGGCAGCAGUAGGGAAUCUUCCGCAAUGGACGAAAGUCUGACGGAGCAACGCCGCGUGACGUGAUGAAGGUUUUCGGAUCGUAAAGCUCUGUUGUUAGGGAAGAACAAGUGCGAGAGUAACUGCUCGCACCUUGACGGUACCUAACCAGAAAGCGCACGGCUAACUACGUGCCAGCAGCCGCGGUAAUACGUAGGUGGCAAGCGUUGUCCGGAAUUAUUGGGCGUAAAGGGCUCGCAGGCGGUUUCUUAAGUCUGAUGUGAAAGCCCCCGGCUCAACCGGGGAGGGUCAUUGGAAACUGGGAAACUUGAGUGCAGAAGAGGAGAGUGGAAUUCCACGUGUAGCGGUGAAAUGCGUAGAGAUGUGGAGGAACACCAGUGGCGAAAGGCGACUCUCUGGUCUGUAACUGACGCU